UUGCUAUCUGCGAUAUGGAAGAUUCGAACCUGCCGCAGGUUCGGGUCGAACGCAGUGAGACAACGGAGCCGUUUACGGCGACGGCCCGAAGGGCGAGCGAAGCGAGUCAUCC
rnacentral:sRNA from 1 species